AUGAAACAAAGGGGAAGGUGCUCCAUUUCCUUCAUGAAAGGGCUCUUGAGCGAGAAACGCAGCGCCGCUGGCAAAACUAAAACACGACGACAGAAGAGCACCCCCCCACGUUCCAGCGAUUUCCGAACAAGUCCGGGUCCCACUGGUGCCCCCCAUUCCUCCCCACCAUACCCCUCUCUAAGCCGAGGCCUUGCUCAGGAGAGCCCAGCAGGGCCUUCUCCAAAAACCACUGAGUCAUGCAGAACAGCAGCUCCGCAGGCGAGGCCGGCCCCGCGCCGACCCCCGACCCUGACCGGCUCCUCCGAGGCGGCGGCGAACUGCGGAGGAAGGGGGGGUGCGGCGAGCAGGGGGCCGGGGGUGCGGCCGCCGCCACGGCCCCUUUGUCUCUCCGGGUCCGGCUGCCCACGCCGGGCGCCGCGCAGAAAGCGGCCGGGACGGACGCGAGGGAGGCCCGGAGCCCACACGCUGGGCAUUGUUCUCCGGACCGUGCGGGUGCAGGCGAGCCGGCGACGCGGGGUGCCGGACCUCGGGCCACGACGACAGGAUGACGCCUCCGUCUUUGUGCUUCCUGAGCUGGCGAGCGGGCUCCCCUCCCCCGGAGGCCGCCGGCCGCGGCCCGCUCGGGCUCCGCCAGAGGCCCGAGGCGGCCCGGUCACCCACCCCCCAUCCCCCGGCCGGGCACGAGCCGCCGGGCGCCGUCCCCCAGCUCCGCACCACUCACCCUGCGGGGGCAGGAGUGCAAGAGCCGGGCUCGCGCGCGACGCCGGCGCGGUGGGGCCGGGCCCGGGCCUCCGGGAGAGACGAGCCGUGCGCCCAGGAGCGGCCGCCGCGGGCCGGGAGCGGGGCGGAGGUGGCGCUGCCGCCGCCGCGGGGUCCUCCUUUGUUCCUGCAGUAGCACCGAGCGUGGCCGGGACACGCCGGAGCUCGGGAAGUGGGAGGAGGGAAGCGGGGGGGGCAGAGGAGGAGGCGGAGGGAGGACCGGAGGCCGCGGCGGCUAACGCUGCCCGCGGCACUCGCCCGUCGUCACCUCACGCCUCCACCGGCGGCGGGCUGGGCCGACUCCGAGGGCGACCGGGACGCGCGCAGGGAGGCCUGGGCGCCGGAGGGCCCGCCGGUGGUGCUCUCCGUCGCCUCAGCUACGGCCGCGGAAGUUGCGUGGCUCCUGGGAGCAAGCGAGCCCCAAGUCCAGGUGCACACUGGUCCGCGCUCCGUCCGACUGACGCUCUCUAUCCGCCCGGCACCCGGGCAGUGAGGGAAAGAGGGAGGGGGGCGGGGUCUGUGCGUCAGCGAAAACCCCGACGGCGGCGACGGGGAGCGCGGUGA
rnacentral:lncRNA from 1 species